rnacentral:rRNA from 1 species
UACGGAGGGUGCAAGCGUUAUUCGGAUUUACUGGGCGUAAAGCGCGCGUAGGCGGCUUGGUAAGUCUGGUGUGAAAGCCCACGACUCAAUCGUGGAAGUGCACUGGAUACUGCUAAGCUAGAGUACUGGAGAGGAGAACGGAAUUCCUGGUGUAGAGGUGAAAUUCGUAGAUAUCAGGAGGAACAACGGUGGCGAAGGCGGUUCUCUGGACAGUAACUGACGCUGAGGUGCGAAAGCGUGGGUAGCAAACGGG